CCUACGGGAGGCAGCAGUAGGGAAUUUUCCACAAUGGACGAAAGUCUGAUGGAGCAACGCCGCGUGAGUGAAGAAGGGUUUCGGCUCGUAAAGCUCUGUUUGUAGGGAGGAAAGAUACAGGAAGUAACUGGCCUUUAUUUGACGGUAAUUACUUAGAAAGUCACGGCAAACUACGUGCCAGCAGCGGCGGUAGUACGUAGGUGGCAAGCGUUGUCCGGUUUGGUUGGGCGAAAGGCGAGUGCAGGGGGUUCAAUAAGUCUGAUGUGAAAGCCUUCGUCUCAACCGGAGAAUUGCAUCAGAAACUGUUGAACUGGAGUGCAGAGGAGGAGAGUGGAACUCCAGGUGUGGCGGUGGA
rnacentral:rRNA from 1 species